CAAGGUGGCUGGCCGGCAGGCCAAUGGCGGCCAACGCCACUUCCGGCCGCCCUCCGAGCAUCGCUCUUCGGCAACCCGAAGCCACAGGAUGGAGGAGGGGGAUCCCAGCAAAGGUAGCGACUAAGGGGACCCAAGCAGAACGGGAGGGCGACGUCCGGAGCGGCGGCAGAGCCAGGGGACGCUGUGUGAGGCUGGCAAAGCGGUGUUCACCUAGUUCUCUCGGGCUCCGCCGCCGCCGGAGGAGGACAGGAGGCCGGCAAGGCGACCCCCAAAUCUUCCUAGGCUCUGACUUCCGUCUCCUAACCCCCGCAAAUUCCAACCCGGUCUUGGAAAAUCCCGCGAGAACGGGCUCCCGAAUUGUCAUUGGGAUCUCGCGAGAACGAAAUCUUCCUUUCUGUGGGCGGAGCAAUCUUCCCGAUGUCUCUUCCCUCUGAGGCCAGUAGCAGGAAGGGCCUCGGGAGUUGCGAGUGUCGCGAGGUUUGAGGUCGCUCGGUGGGCCGGGCGCUGUGCGAAGCUAGAAAUAACUGGGGGCAUGGAGAAUGCGGUGGCUGUAAAGGGCCGCUGAGGCGGUGGAGGCCUGGCAGAGAGCGUCCCCGCGGUCGCGGCUUCUGGCUUCUCUGUGGAGCUUGGUUCUUCCGUGGUGGUGCAGCACCCCAGGAACUUCAGGAACCAGUCCUUCCUUGGAGAGCUCCCCGGGACAGCCACGGGGGCCAAGUGAAACUAGCGCGUUUUCUUGGAUCCUACACUUUAUAGUGAGUCAUAAAUACUUUAAAUACAAAGCCAACAACAUUUGCUGCAAAUAAACGUAAAAAUACUGUUAAAGUGUAAAGUGUUUUCCUCCGUACCAUCUGACGUUUCUGGCGGUUCGUUGAACGCGAGAGAACGCUGAGCCGUCUGCACUGAGCCCGGGAGCAUCUUCAGGGCAGCGCCGCCCACGCGCGAGGUGAAUGAAGGACACGGCCUCUUGACACUCCCAGGCAGCACAGAUAGACGGAUCCUCUACCGCUGAUUGCAGCUGGAAAAGAUUCUGAGGGCUCACCUGAGUAAUCCAGGAUCAUCUUCCCAUUUCCAGGUCUCUGCCCUUGAUCACAUCAGCAGAAUCCUUUUGCCAUUGGCUAGAAGUGACCCCAGGAUUUUUUUAUUAUCAAGAGAGACUAGAAGAAUCAUGAGACUUUUCCUAGUUGCCUUUCAAGAAUAUGAAGAAAAAAAUGGUUCUCAAAGUGGGUUUGAAUGAGUAUUGUUCCAAUAAAUGAACUUAUAUUCAUAUUUC
rnacentral:lncRNA from 1 species